rnacentral:tRNA from 4 species
GGAGAGGUAUCGAAGCGGUCAUAACGAGGCGGUCUUGAAAACCGUUUGACUUAACGGUCACGUGGGUUCGAAUCCCACCCUCUCCGCCA